UCCACAUUUUGGAUCCCGUCAACUGAUUUGAAAUAUGCAGAAACGCGCGAGGAUGCUUGCCCAUGGUCUUUCUAGUUUUGUAACUUUUCGUUCAUCAUUUUCGCGGGACGUUUACGUGAGGAUAGCACGAGUGUCACUCUGUUUGUGAAAUACAAGUCGUCGACGAAGCAAAAUCUCAGUGGGAGGCGAUCACCGUGCAAAUGACGUGAAGUAAGCAUUACGGGGCUCAAGCUUUCGAUACCGUAACGGACAAACUGCUGAUACAGUUAAAUGGAUCUCUGAUUUCGUUGUAUUGCAUGCGUUUUCUGCGCGUCUUUGCACAAUGAAUACAGGGACAGUUGUGCUGUGUGAGGAAGAGUGUGUGUCUAUAAGGGUACACGCAAAAGUCGAUCGUACAAACGCACAUGCUUAGAAGAUCUUGAAACAGUGUCGCGUCUGCCUGCAUGUUGCUGUGUAACUGAGCAUACAGUUUUUGUUACAGUGAGCAGUUGUUUUUUCUCCCCCCGUUUUUCGAAUGUGCUUGUCGGCCUGUCGUCUGCCUUUCCAUUAUUCAGGUGAAAGGCAGACUGGUUGGGGAAUUUGCGCAGUUCAACGCAGGACGGAAUUUUCACAUAAUGUCUGAUAUUUAUAUAAUGCAGUUGCUAGAUAUCUUAUGAUUUUGUGCACGUUUUGUUCUUAUGGAAAGCUUUUCUUUGUGUGUGUGUGUGUGAAGCAUCUAUGUCUGCACAGUAUACACCUUCAUCUGAGAAGUACUUCAGAACACCGCAUCAGCUGAGAUUGCGUUUUAUACCUUCAUGCAUUAAGCAUCUGUCGUUUUCCAGCUCCUUGCCUUUGAAAUGGAAGCACAGUAAGCAUAUGCCAACACCCAUACAUGGGAGGAGAGAGCUGGAGCCAUGGUUUUGUUGCAGUUGACCUGGGCACCUUUCGCACCUUGGCAUGCUUUGCAGAACUUAGAUGCAUAUGUAAUCCUCACCUCGUCACCUUUCUACUCCAGCAGUUCAGAUAAUUCUUCGGUACACCAGAACCAUGCGAAUACCUGCUUCUCCCCUGUGGUACGCCUUCUGCUGUGGUUAUUUAUGAAGGUGUCUACUGGUCAGAAAGCAGUGGCUCUGUGUUGAGGGUAUGACACUGCACAAUCUCAAUUUAUUGAAUAAUACAGGUGUGUAACAUAUUUAGUCGCCAUUGUAAUUUGCCCAUGGCAUAUAGGUGCCCUGGUCAGUGCUAUGUUCUGCCAACACUGCUAAGAGAGAAGACAGAUGGAGUCAUCAAGAAGUUGGUAACCUACUUCAACUGACUCCUCUAUACAUGACAAUCGCUACAAGGAAAUGGGCUUCCGGUUCUAUGACCACAUAAGCCGGGAGAGGCCCAUGUGUAUCCUACCAUCAUCCAUCACACAACAGAUGACCUGCAAGCUUCUGCAUCAGUCUGUUUUGACCGAAGGGUUCAUGGUCGGGCAUCUGGCAUGCUACCUUCUUUACCGUUAACGUUGUGUACAGUCCUAGAGCUUAACUAAUUAACUGUUACGUUAACAUGGAAUCACUGUUUGGAGCAUACACAGAUUGACGCUGUGCACAAAUUUCAUAAUGGACAUCGAUUAAGUACUACUAGUUGCCAUAACCAGUUCCCAUGUAACCCCCCCCCCCCAAUUGUAGAGGCGGUUGCCUUGGAAGGUCCACCCUUAUUAAGUUUUUGCGCGCUACAGCUGAGUGAUAAACGCCUGUUGGAUUGCAAGGACACAGCACAUCUUGUUAUCAGGGGGCAAACUGGGAAUUAAUCUGGAAUAGCAGUAAAAUGUUACUCAAAUGUAUGAAACAGGAUACGAAAAGAUUUUGAAGACAGCGCGUAAGUGUUACUAGCAGACUUCUUAUACAGUAACAAUGGCAUUAUCAACGGAAAGUAUGCAAGUGUUAUUUGAAUUCUGGGUGGCAGCGUCACCAGCCUGCACAUCAGUAAGAUGUUCGUGGUGUUGCCAGAAACCUUUUUGCAUUCUAUGUUGCGCAUUUUUUAGGCAACUUUUCAUAUCGAAUCACAUCCGAGUUGUUCUGUCAGGUAAUGAGAACUCCUUCUCUCUCAGUUUGGAAAUCCACAGGUACCAUUUCCGUAUCUGCAGUACAGGAAAUAUCAGGCUGGUGGCUUUUUGAAGGCACCACCGUGUAGAUGACAUUUGGUCUCACCGCAAAUGAAAAAAACAACAAGAACAAAAACAUUCAUCCUGGUCAAAAAUUAAAUAAUUCAGCUGUUCACUCUAACUGGAUGAAACUGCUUUCAAGAAGUAUAGGACAGUCAAUAGCCACUACACUCAGCACGUGCUAGUUCUUAAUCGAUGUGGAUCAUCAGAUUUGUGCAUGGCUGUGAACAACGUCAAAGUUGAGCAGGUGGUUCAGGUGUUUCAAUUUGAAGAGCAAAGCAUGUGUAACUUAGUCACUUAGCCUGUUGCUGCUAUCUUGUCUCAAAGGAGUGCUAAUUGUUAAAGCAAUAAAAAUCUCUUAUGUUAAGCCUAUAGUCUGGAACCAUUCACUAGCUGGUUAAAAAUGUAAAAUACCAUUCGCAACAAAUUAUGUAUUUCUGCUGUAUGUUCGAACUGCUAGUACACCUUGGUGUAAGUGACCAAACUAGAUUUAUAUUUGUACGUUCUGGCUAGGAACUGGUGCAGUUAGCGAGUACUGCAAGGAAAUAUAAUUUAUUGCAACGGUGCUUCGUUUUGGCGCAUUUUUUGUGUGGGAGUGGAAGGUCCCCCCCACUCCCGGGGGCAUCAAGUGACUCCCCUUACGGGGUCACUUGAUGCCGGUAAGAGUCAAAACAGAUCCAUGGAAGUGGGAGUCAAAUGACUCCCCUUGAUGGCAUCAAAUGACCCCCUGCCUUGAUGGAGUCAUAGUGACUCCAGGAGGGGGGUAUAUAUGUGGCAGGGUCACCCUGACUCCCUUAUUUUUUAGAGUGCACACUGUACUGUAACCGGUUACCUAUUUGCCUAAACUGUAUUUUAUGUACAUCUGUGUAGGCGAUACAGAUACACUGCGUAUCGCCAGUUUGCAAGGUGAGUAUGGCACAAGCUUGGGAAAAACAAGAGCAUGGUCAUUCCAGCCUGUGCAGUGAACAGGUCUGGCAAGCCUUCCCCACAGAAACUGCCACAGGCUUCAAGUACCCAAGAUCCUAACUGAAGGUACCUCUUCGCACAGCUCGUCUAUCGCAUUUAAAAUAAUUCAGCAUCUGUAUUUAGGAUGAUUUAUAGCUCUCAGGAUGAUGCAUGGUUCAUGAGUUCAAUACGUUGUGUCGAAACACAACACUAGUCCUUUUUAAUGAGUCUUGCGGAACGACAGAUGAGCACUCCUUUCGUGACAUUGUGUACCGUUGCUACAGCGAACAAUUUCUUGAGCAAGACUGAUAAACAAACGAAAAGCAGAGUCUGUCUUCCAAAUAUGUAUAUUCCUUGUAACUUCCGUGUUUGUUAAGUGACCCAUGUUGAUGUCCCCCCUCAUGUAAUGCCUGCAAGGGCCUUUGAGGUAUAUUCAUAAAUAAAUAAAUAUCAAAACCG